UCCAUUGUUGUCACAGUAAUACUAUCGGUCUCAUUUUCACUCGACUCAAGGAUGUCUUCACGCAAGUUUGUGUCCAAAUUCAAUGUUGUCAAAUAGAAUAACAUCUUUUGUUGCCAACGUUUGAAAUUCGACCCAUUAAACUUAUCGGGCUUCUCUCUAUGUCCCGCAAUGACAGAAGUAGGCCUUGGCAUCACAUUUGAUGUUCCUAGAGCUGAAACUGUAUUAUUUGCAGUAGUAACAUUAUUCACACCAUUCAUUGUGUUAUCACUAGAUACAUUUUCUAAAUUUAAUACAAAAAAAUCAAAAACAAUAAAAUAAAUAAAAUAUUUUUUUUGCGUAUAAAAACAAUUUAUUUUUUAAAUUAAUUGGUAUAAUGAAAACGACUUAACAUUGCUGAAAAAAGUGUGUUGUUUUUUCUUAAAAAUAAAUAAAUAGAAAGUAUCAAAUAGAAAUGUAGGAUUUCCAAACACUGAAAUAAAUAAUUGAAAAUGAAGAAUUACAAAAUCGAAUUCACCGAAAUGUAGAAUAAACACCGAAAUUGUAAUGGUUGGGGCCUGAAUUAGAUUCAGUGUUCUUAAGUCAUUUUACGUCCCUCACUUGGUAUUUACGGAAUCUGACAUACGAUUUUCAGGAUACAACAACAUCAAACUUCUGAUAGUAGUACUCUAAAUCAGAAGAACAUGGCUUGCAACAACUUGCAUUUUCAACAUUUUAAAACUUUGUUUUUGAUUGAAUUCUAAAUGUUGAAUGUUUAUAGGUUUAUAUAAAAGUUUUCACACCUCUUAGAAGAGGGAUGGUGCCAUUUUGGAGGCUUACACCUCUUAGAAGAGAGAAAAGGCACCCAUUCGCGAUAAGCCACAUAUUGGCCAACCAAAUACCCAUUUAGCCAAACAAACAACUAUUCGUAUAAAUCCAAAACGUUGUGACUUUUCGUGAAUUAAAGAAAAAAAAUUAGGAAAUAAAUUAUAAUUUUUCUUUCGCAUAAAUUCCAAACAACGUGAAUGUUUGCGAAAGAAAGAAAAGGAAAGAAAGUAUAAUUUCUAACUGAUUAAAAAUUAAAAAUAUAUGAAUAAAUUUUCUCUAAAAAAUUAAUAUUCAUAUAGCCCAAAUCCAAACCCAUGCCCAAGCUGGGUCCAGACAGUUGCGGCGCAGUCGCAUGUGGGUCAGAACCAUGAGUUAUAUGGGUCAAACUCACUUUGUAUGUACCUAAGGGCUUAAAUUUUAGAAGCCAAACUUGAGUUAUAUAAAUUCAUUAACCUUCUUUCAUUUUUUCAAGGUGGACAACCCUUUUUAUUCUGAUUUUUCAUUUGCAAUGGUGCUUCCUUGAUAAAUAAUUUCUCAUUCAAAUCAAUUCAAUUUUGGACAAAUAAAUAUACUAAAUUCAUGAACUCAUUUAGGAGAGUAUGAAUCAAUCAUUGUUCAUCUAAUUUAGUGUAUAGAACUUAAUUAAUUUUUUGUCCCAAUAUGUGUUCACAACACUUUAUUAAAACCCAACUUCUAAUAAUAAAUUGAUAUAGAUCGACUAUUUAUGUAUAUACUAUCAAUGUAAUUUUUUACGGUAUUAAAGUAUUUUAUGACUUCUACAAUUGAAUGAUUUAAAUUAUAAAAAUAAGUCCAAAACAAACUCAAAAUGAUUGGAUUGCACCAAAAUGAACUGCAGAGAAGCCUCGCCAUGUAAUAAAGCGCACUUGAGGCACGUGAAGAUUUUAUAGAAGGUUUCGGAUUUUUCUGGAAUUGUAAUCAUAGCAGGUAGCGGACACACUCCAAUCUACACUCAGACCUACGUGUAUGUGCUUAUAUUCACAUUUCACACACACACACACACACACACACACACACACACACACAGGGCGGUGCGGUGCAAUAAUUUCAAGGAAUUAGAGUUAAAUCAGCUGAUUGACAUAUGAAUUCUGAACCCCCAAUAGACUAUGUUUAUUUGUUCAUUUUUCUAAUUUUUCUCUCCAUUCUUUUCUUCCUUUCAAUUUGGCCACUUUUAGUUGAUUUUUUGUUUAAAAUUUUUAGCUACUUUAAUUUUAAUUUUUUUAUAUUUAUUGAUUUUUUAAUUUUCAUCAAAAUAUUAUAUUUUUUCGGUUCUUCAUAAUAAGAGGAAUCUGAAUAUAUAAAAUUUUUUGUUCAAAUAUGAAAAAAAAUGGAAAACCUUUCUUUUUUGUAUUUUGGUGAUUUGUUUUUUAAAUUAGAUGAAAUUUUUAAUAUUUUCAAACUCCUCUCGUUAAAAAAAUAAAAAAAUAUAAAAUUUUGAUCUCUAUGUUUUAUUUUUAUUAUGUAAGAUAACUAUAUAGUCCUUUUAUUUAAUUAGGAUUGUUUAGCAAUCUUACAUAGUAAAAAUAAAAAAUAGAGAAUCAAUUUUCUAUAGAAAUCAUCCUAAUUUGGCCUAGCCGUUUUUGAGUUUUUUUUUUAACUAUUUUGGUUUGAGUUUUCUCGUUUUAAAAAAAAAUUAACUUUUUGAUCAAAAUUUUAUAUUUUUUUGAUUUUUCCUGAAGAGAGAAAUUUAAAAAUAACAAUUAAAUUUUAUAUUAGCAAUUAUCUUAAAAUAAUCGUUAUUUAUUUUACCAAAAGGGUUUAUAUGUUGCAAAGUAUUUUAGGUUGUGAGUAUUAUCAUUGUUCUACUUCAGGGAUGCUAUUCAGCGUAUGUAUUUCAAAUAAAUUUAGUACUUUCUCUGUUUUAAUUUCUUUGUCUAUUUUGAUAAAUUUAUUUUUUAAAGAGUCAAAAAUGCUACUCCAUAUUAAAAGUUUUAAAUUUUGUCCCAUCUAAAAAACUUAAACUAAAAAUUUUCUUUAAUAAUUUAAAAUUACCUAAAAACAAAAAUUGAAAAAAAAUUGACAAACUAAUAUUUGUUGGUUAACUUUUUAAAACGACAAAACUUCUCUGCAAUCUAAAUUUUGGAUUGUACAGUGUAGUUCAACAAUUUUGAUUCUAUUUUGAUUAUUCAAAACGUUCAGAAUGUAGUUCUCAUCGAGAAGUUCACUACUAUAAAAAAAUCACGUUGAUCAUAUACAAAUCAAUAAUAGAUCAAUAUCAAUUUAUAUCAAGAUAAUUGAGUAUAAUUAUAUUUGUCACACUCAUUUAUUAAAUCAUAUAAUAGUAUUGAGCGGAUAUUGAUUUGUAUCUGAUCAACAUGAUUUUUUACAAUAUUGAUCUUCAUGAUAGAGCCUUUAUUAUAACGUUUUAGAUCAUCAAAAUGGACCCAAGAUAGGACUAAAAAUGCUUGUCCCAAUGGAUAAAUAAAGUGAGAAUUGUUUGUCCCAUUUGACUCUCACUCUCACUCUCACUCUCACUCUCAUAAAUAAAAGAAAAAAAUUAAAGGAUCUAACGGUUUAGAUAUAAUCUUUGCCUUUAAUUGCUUUUUUUCUUUAUCAUCUGCAAAUAAGUCCCUAAAACUUUAAUCCAAAUACAACAUUGGCUAUUGUUUAAUUUAUUUAUUUAUUUUCACAGGGACAAAAAAAUAGUUUUAUAUAAUUUUCUAAUAUGCAUAAAUUAUAACAAAUUGAUAAUAAUAAGUGGUUGUACUAGCUAAAAUGUGCAUGCCCCCCAAUGAUGACUAAAGCUGAUGUGGGGAAAAAUAUCCGGAAGAUCGCCUUAAGAGCCACAACGCUAUCUCGCCUAAAUUUCUUGAUCACCCGUUUGGUCAUAGCCAGUUUGCCACCUCGCCAAAAUAUUAAUGAGCUCCUUUCUAAUGUGCUAUUGGGUAAGAUCUCUUACAUCGCUGGAGCAGGUUACUUGUUCACAAGUACUCCAUCUAUAUGAGACUCCUUCUCCACAAAGGCACCUAUGAUUACGGAAUGAUCUCCAUAUGGAAUUCUCUUAUUUUAUCUCUGAAAUCUCUGGGAUCUCUUUCUAUACUUAUCCUCCCGAAGAUCAAGCAUACUUUCCUUAUACGGCUCUCUAUUCUCUAUCUAUAUAAAGGCCACUCCUCCAUUAUAAAAAGGUAUGACUUACCCCAUGCAUAUACGCUCUUAUAGUUCUGUCUUUACAUUGCUUUCAUCGUGCUCGCCUUAGUCUGAUUGCCACGCCAGAGGGGUUUUGAGUGGCCUCACCCCGGCUAGAUACGUUUGUUCAGUUGUUUGUAAAGGUCUCUCGAGUUAUUGUUGAAGUUCAGUACCAAGGUGAAAAAAACAAUUUUGAUUGUUGGUUACUCGUCACAGUUUUAUACCACAACAGUUUAGCGCCAUUUGUGAAAUGAUAGGUGUCAGUUUCCUAUGCACCUGCGCAGCCGUUGGGUACCUGGACCAAAUGCCAGCAGCCUUUUAGAUUAUAGAGCUUGUCCAAUGGCCAACACUAGCCAAGCUCCAAAUUUAGAGGGCCUCGAUCGUGAGAUACACGAUAUGGCCGAAUAGAUGAGAAUUAUGAAUGAGAAUAAUGCCCUCCUUAUACAGCAUUUCGCCGUAAACAAUCUGCCACCUCUUCCCCCAGCACCGGUUCCAAAAAUCCAUCGAUCUUGCUGCUCCCACUGUUUGUGCGAUGACUCCCAAAACAAUCGGAGCACUGGUUGAGCACAGGAUAGGCGACAUCGAUCGCCAAGCCCUCAACAUAGGCAAAAAAGGAGCCCAGUUUUGUCAGAAUCCCAAUCAUCCAGCAAAACUUCUAAAGUAGAAGGCGGGGAAGUCAAGAGACAAGGGGGGUCUCCUUGCCAUAACGACCAGGCGCUCGGAUGCCAAGACAGAUCCACCACUCAAAAAUUUAGGGACCUCGGCGCCCGUAUUGAUGCCAUCAAUAUAGGUAUGAAUGUGCUGGUAAUUAUGGAUGCUUUGAUCAAACAAACUGACCAGCCAUUCAGAGAAAAUGUGAUCAGAACUCGGGUCUCUUCUAGAUUUAAGUUGCCUACUCAGCUCGAAAUCUAUGAAGGGAAGACAGAUCCUAUGGACCACUUGGAUUCAUACAAAAACCUAAUGUCGCUAUAAGGAUACUCUGAUGAAGUGAUGUGCAAAGCAUUCUCUACUACUCUAAAAGGAUCUGCAAGGUCAUGGUUUAGAAAGUUGACUCCAGGAACCAUUGAUACAUAUGGAGACCUAAGUAGGCUCUUCAUCGCCAAUUUUAUGAGCUGCCGAGUCAGACAGAAGAAUGCUUCCCACCUUUUCACCAUUCACCAAAAGGAGACUGAAAGCUUGAAAGAUUAUGUGAAGUGAUUUAACUAGGCCAUUCUAGAAGUAGAGGAUCCCAGUGACAAGGUGGUGAUAAUGGCUAUAAUAGAGGGACUUCUCUCAAGACCAUUAUUUGAUUCCCUUUCAAAGAACAUCCCUAAAACCUUAUCGACUCUCCAAAGCAAGGCCAACAAGUAUAUUUCCGCGAAGAAGUUGGCUGAGGCUAAACGGAGGAGGCAAGGAAGACAUGAUAAGAGGAAGAACUUGAGAACAGGUGAGUAGAUUAUAGAGAUAAAGCAAGGAACAAAAGGCUUGAUUGAGAUUUAAGGCGAUAAACCAAUUACAAACGUCCUCAUACCCUACCUCAUCGUCUUGAAUUGGUGCUACCACCCCUUAAUGCCCCUAUAGCCCAAGUGCUAAAAAAUAUUAAGCAUGAAAAUUUGUCAAGUGACCAGGAUUGAUCAAGAUUGAUCCCUAAAAAAGGAACAAAAGCAGAUAUUGUGAGUUCCACCGAGACCAUAGACAUAACACGAAAGAUUGCUUCCAACUAAAAGAAGAGAUAUUUGACCUUAUCAAGAAGGGUUAUCUGAGAAAGUAUGUUGUUGAUCGCCCAUUGCCCAACUCCCUAGAAAGGAGAUAUGGUGAUAAUAGGCCAACCGCUAGGGAUACAUAGGUGAUCCAUGGCGGAUUUGGAUCCGGUGGAUGUUCGAGUUCGUCCAGGAAGAAACAUGCCAGGAGCACUAGUGGACGAGUUGAGGUAGAGGUCUACAAUCCAUCCUCUACAGCAAUUGACACUCACCCUCCCAUUACCUUCAACAAUGAUGAUCUUAGGGGUCUAUACCUCCCUCAUGACGAUGCCUUAAUUGUUUCGAAUGUCAUCGCCAACUUCAACGUUUAGAAGAUUUUGGUUGACAAUGGGAGUUCAGCAGAUAUCUUGUUCAUCUUGGCAUUCAAUAAGAUGAAGAUUGGGUUGGACAAGGUACAUCCUUUCCACACUUCUCUAAUCGGGUGUAGAGAUAACAUGACACACCCACUCGAUUGGUUUAAGCUGCCAGUAACUUUGGGGGCAAAGCCCCCCCAGACCACUGUUUGGCAAGAUGUGAUUGUGGUAAAUUGCCCUUCGCCUUAUAAUGCCAUACUAGGACGACUAAUGCUAAGAGGGGUCAAGGCGAUCACCUCGACCUAUCACCUAAAGAUGAAAUUCCCCACUUCGAUAGGAAUAGGCUAGGUAAAGGGCGACCAAAAGGUGGCCAAACAAUGUUUCAUCUCCGCAUGAAAACCGGUUCCUCUCAUAAAUCAUGCAACCAAUAGCAAUUAUAAACUACCAAUGCCAAGAUGGAAGCUUUGACGGACGAGGUGGAACAAAUUACCUUAACAGAUCCUAGAGAAACGGAAAAUACCAAACCCUUAGAAGAAGUUGCUCCAAUCUCCAUUCACCCAGACUAUCCAGAUUGCCAUGUCAUGAUUGGCACUGAACUUACAAACGAGUUACGUUCCGCCUUGGUAAAUUUUUUUAAAACAAUUAUGAUAUAUUUUCCUAGUCUCAAGGCAAUGUUCCAAGCAUUGAUCCUUAAGUCGCCGUCCAUAAAUUAUUCACCAACCCAAAGUAUCCCCCAGUUCGCCAAAAGAGAAAAAAAUUUGCCCCUAAAAGACUGAAAGUUAUAAAAGAAGAAGAAGUGGCUAAGCUCAUCAAGGCCAAUGUCAUCAGAGAAUCUCAUUACCCGGAUUGGCUCGCCAACAUUGUCAUUACCCCAAAGAAGGGGAGACAUGGAGAGUGUGUGUUGACUUUACCGACCUCAACAAGGCAUGUCCAAAAGAUAGUUUUCAUUUUCAAAGAUUGACCUGAUAGUCGAUGUUACUUCCAAACACGAGCUUAUUAGUUUUAUAGACGCCUUCUCUAGAUAUCACCAGAUCAAGAUGCAUCCACCUGAUGUGGAGAAGACUUAUUUUAUAACUGAGAGGGGGCUAUAUUAUUACAAAGUCAUGCCUUUUGGCCUGAAGAAUGCUAGGGCGACGUAUCUGUUCAAAGAACAUCGAUUAUAUGCUCGUCAAAAGCCUUAAAGCUGCAGAUCACAUUACCCACUUAUAGGAAGCAUUCCACGUCCUGCGUAAGCACCGAAUGAUGAUAAAUCAUUCCAAGUGCAUUUUUAGCGUCUCCUCGGGUAAAUUCCUUGGAUUUUUGGUAACCAGGCGAGGGAUUGAAGCAAACCUAGACUAGAUUCAAGCGUUGUUUUCCAUGAGCUCACCCAAAAACAUUUGGGAGGUACAUCAAUUAAUUGAGCGAGUAGCCACCCUUAACAAAUUCAUCUCCAAAUCAGCUGAUAAGUGCCUCCCAUUCUUCAAGAUUCCGAGGAAAAAUUAAGCUUUCUAGUGGAACGACAAAUCCGAGGUAGCAUUCCA
rnacentral:lncRNA from 1 species